UUUUAUUUGAGAGUUUGAUCCUGGCUCAGGAUGAACGCUGGCGGCGUGCCUAACACAUGCAAGUUGAGCGAUUUACUUCGGUAAAGAGCGGCGGACGGGUGAGUAACGCGUGGGUAACCUACCCUGUACACACGGAUAACAUACCGAAAGGUAUGCUAAUACGGGAUAAUAUAUUGAGAGGCAUCUCUUAAAAUAUCAAAGGUGAGCCAGUACAGGAUGGACCCGCGUCUGAUUACGCUAGUUGGUAAGGUAACGGCUUACCAAGGCGACGAUCAGUAGCCGACCUGAGAGGGUGAUCGGCCACAUUGGA
rnacentral:rRNA from 1 species